GACAGAGGGUGCAAGCGUUAUCCGGAAUGAUUGGGCGUAAAGCGUCCGCAGGUGGCUAUGUAAGUCUGCUGUUAAAGAGCAAAGCUUAACUUUGUAAAAGCAGUGGAAACUACAUAGCUAGAGUGCGUUCGGGGCAGAGGGAAUUCCUGGUGUAGCGGUGAAAUGCGUAGAGAUCAGGAAGAACACCGGUGGCGAAGGCGCUCUGCUAGGCCGCAACUGACACUGAGGGACGAAAGCUAGGGGAGCGAAUGGG
rnacentral:rRNA from 1 species